ACGGGGUGCAGCAGGCGCGAAAUCUUCACAAUGUGCGAAAGCACGAUGAGGGAAUCCCAAGUGCUAGCACGUAAGUGUUAGCUGUUUCUUAGUCUAAAAAACUCAGAGAGUAAGGGCUGGGUAAGACGGGUGCCAGCCGCCGCGGUAAUACCUGCAGCUCGAGUGGUGGCCGCUAUUAUUGGGCCUAAAACGUCCGUAGCCUGUUUAGUAAAUGCUUGGGUAAAUUGUGUAGCUUAACUAUACGAACACCGGGUAGACUGCUAAACUUGGGACCGGGAGAGGCUAGAGGUACUCCUAGGGUAGAGGUGAAAUUCUGUAAUCCUAGGGGGACCACCAGUGGCGAAGGCGUCUAGCUAGAACGGGUCUGACGGUGAGGGACGAAGCCCUGGGGCGCGAACCGGAUUAGAUACCCGGGUAGUCCAGGGUGUAAACGCUGCUUGCUUGAUGUUAGUUGGGCUCCGAGCCCAACUAGUGUCGGAGAGAAGUUGUUAAGCAAGCUGCCUGGAAGUACGUCGCAAGACC
rnacentral:rRNA from 1 species